CGUGUAGGCGGGAAUGUAAGUCAGAUGUGAAAUUCCGGGGCUCAACCCCGGCACUGCAUCUGAAACUGUGUUUCUUGAGUGCUGGAGAGGAAAGCGGAAUUCCUAGUGUAGCGGUGAAAUGCGUAGAUAUUAGGAGGAACACCAGUGGCGAAGGCGGCUUUCUGGACAGUAACUGACGCUGAGGCGCGAAAGCGUGGGGAGCAAACAGGAUUAGAUACCCCUGGUAGUCCACGCUGUAAACGAUGGAUACUAGGUGUAGGAGGUAUCGACCCCUUCUGUCGCCGGAGUUAACACAAUAAGUAAUCCCAACCUGGGGAGUACGGCCGCAAGGUUGAA
rnacentral:rRNA from 1 species